rnacentral:rRNA from 1 species
GAUGAACGCUGGCGGCGUGCCUAAUACAUGCAAGUCGAGCGAACAGACGAGGAGCUUGCUCCUCUGACGUUAGCGGCGGACGGGUGAGUAACACGUGGAUAACCUACCUAUAAGACUGGGAUAACUUCGGGAAACCGGAGCUAAUACCGGAUAAUAUAUUGAACCGCAUGGGUCAAUAGUGAAAGACGGUGUUGCUGUCACUUAUAGAUGGAUCCGCGCCGCAUUAGCUAGUUGGUAAGGUAACGGCUUACCAAGGCGACGAUGCGUAGCCGACCUGAGAGGGUGAUCGGCCACACUGGAGCUGGGACACGGUCCAGGCUCCUACGGGAGGCAGCAGUAGGGAAUGUUCCGCAAUGGGCGAAAGCCUGACGGAGCAACGCCGCGCGAGUGAUGAAGGUCUUCGGAUCGUAAAACUCUGUUAUUAGUGAAGAACAAAUGUGUAAGUAACUAUGCACGUCUUGACGGUACCUAAUCAGAAAGCCCCGGCUAACUACGUG